rnacentral:rRNA from 1 species
CUGCCUACGGGGCGCAGCAGUGGGGAAUAUUGGGCAAUGGGCGCAAGCCUGACCCAGCAAUGCCGCGUGAAGGAAGAAGGCUUUCGGGUUGUAAACUUCUUUGACAGGGGAAGAGCAGAAGACGGUACCCUGAAAACAAGCCACGGCUAACUACGUGCCAGCAGCCGCGGUAAUACGUAGGGGGCAAGCGUUAUCCGGAUUCACUGGGUGUAAAGGGAGCGUAGACGGCGAUGCAAGUCUGAAGUGAAAGGCGGGGGCCCAACCCCCGGACUGCUUUGGAAACUGUAUAGCUGGAGUGCAGGAGG